rnacentral:rRNA from 1 species
UACGAAGGGGGCGAGCGUUGUUCGGAAUUACUGGGCGUAAAGCGUGCGCAGGCGGCUUUGCAAGACAGAUGUGAAAUCCCCGGGCUUAACCUGGGAACUGCAUUUGUGACUGCAUGGCUAGAGUGUGGCAGAGGGGGAUGGAAUUCCGCGUGUAGCAGUGAAAUGCGUAGAUAUGCGGAGGAACACCGGAUGGCGAAGGCAAUCCCCUGGGCCUGCACUGACGCUCAUGCACGAAAGCGUGGGGAGCAAACAGG